rnacentral:rRNA from 1 species
AGCGAACGUUUGCGGCGGGCUUAACACAUGCAAGUCGUACGAGAAUCUCCGCUUCGGUGGGGAGGAAAGUGGCGCACGGGUGCGUAACACGUGGGUAAUCAACCCUCUAGAUUGGGACAACCCGGGGAAACUCGGGCUAAUACCAGAUGUCGCGUUGGGCUCUUCGGGGCCGAACGUAAAAGGAGCAGUCCGCUAGAGGACGAGCCCGCGGCCCAUCAGCUAGUUGGCGAGGUAAUGGCUCACCAAGGCGAAGACGGGUAGCUGGUCUGAGAGGAUGAUCAGCCACACUGGAACUGAGACACGGUCCAG